rnacentral:rRNA from 1 species
UACGUAGGGUGCAAGCGUUGUCCGGAAUUAUUGGGCGUAAAGAGCUCGUAGGCGGUCUGUCGCGUCGGAUGUGAAAACCCGGGGCUUAACCCCGGGCUUGCUUUCGAUACGGGCAGACUAGAGUGUGGUAGGGGAGACUGGAAUUCCUGGUGUAGCGGUGAAAUGCGCAGAUAUCAGGAGGAACACCGGUGGCGAAGGCGGGUCUCUGGGCCACUACUGACGCUGAGGAGCGAAAGCGUGGGGAGCAAACAGG